rnacentral:rRNA from 1 species
UACGAAGGGGGCUAGCGUUGUUCGGAAUUACUGGGCGUAAAGGGCUCGUAGGUGGCCAACUAAGUCAGACGUGAAAUCCCUCGGCUUAACCGGGGAACUGCGUCUGAUACUGGAUGGCUAGAGAUUGGGAGAGGGAUGCGGAAUUCCAGGUGUAGCGGUGAAAUGCGUAGAUAUCUGGAGGAACACCGGUGGCGAAGGCGGGUCUCUGGGCCGAUACUGACGCUGAGGAGCGAAAGCGUGGGGAGCAAACAGG